GAUGAACGCUGGCGGAGUGCCUAAUACAUGCAAGUCGAGCGGCAGCGCGAGUAGUUUACUACUUGGCGGCGAGCGGCGGACGGCUGAGUAACGCGUGGGAACGUACCCCAAAGUGAGGAAUAACUGCCCGAAAGGGUAGCUAAUACCGCAUAUGAUCUUCGGAUUAAAGGAUUUAUCCGCUUUGGGAGCGGCCCGCGUACGAUUAGAUAGUUGGUGAGGUAAUGGCUCACCAAGUCGACGAUCGUUAACUGAUCUGAGAGGAUGAUCAGUCAGACUGGAACUGAGACACGGUCCAGACUCCUACGGGAGGCAGCAGUAAGGAAUCUUCCACAAUGGACGAAAGUCUGAUGGAGCAACUCCGCGUGCAGGAUGAAGGCCUUCGGGUUGUAAACUGCUUUUAUGAGUGAAGAAUAUGACGGUAACUCAUGAAUAAGGGUCGGCUAACUACGUG
rnacentral:rRNA from 1 species